UGGUCACAGAGUCGCACCGCUUCCGUCCGUCGGACAGAGGAACGGUGGAAGGAGCCGGAAGUCCGGUGGGCUCCAGUCGUCGCGAUGGAGGAGAGUGUGUACGAGUCGGUGCUCUGUGUCAAGCCUGACGUCCACGUCUACCGCAUCCCUCCGCGGGCUACCAACCGUGGCUACAGGGCCGCGGAGUGGCAGCUGGACCAGCCAUCAUGGAGUGGCCGGCUGAGGAUCACUGCAAAGGGGCAGAUGGCCUACAUCAAGCUGGAGGACAGGACCUCAGGGGAGCUGUUUGCUCAGGCCCCGGUGGAUCAGUUUCCUGGCACAGCUGUGGAGAGUGUGACGGACUCCAGCAGGUACUUCGUGAUCCGCAUCGAAGAUGGAAAUGGGCGACGGGCGUUUAUUGGAAUUGGCUUCGGGGACCGAGGUGAUGCCUUUGACUUCAAUGUUGCAUUGCAGGACCAUUUCAAGUGGGUGAAACAGCAGUGUGAAUUUGCAAAACAAGCCCAGAACCCAGACCAAGGCCCUAAAUUGGACCUGGGCUUCAAGGAGGGCCAGACCAUCAAGCUUAACAUCGCAAACAUGAAGAAGAAGGAAGGAGCAGCCGGGAAUCCCCGAGCCCGGCCUGCCAGCACAGGAGGGCUGAGCCUGCUUCCCCCUCCCCCAGGGGGCAAAACCUCCACCCUGAUCCCUCCCCCUGGGGAGCAGUUGGCUGUGGGGGGAUCCCUCGCCCAGCCAGCAGUUGCUCCCAGUUCAGGUCGGACUCGGGAACAUCAGUAGGAGGUGCUCCUGUACCCUGGCCACAGCCCAAGCCUGCCACCGCUGACAUCUGGGGAGACUUUACCAAAUCUACAGGGUCAACUUCCAGCCAGACCCAGCCCGGCACGGGCUGGGUCCAGUUCUGACCUGAGCACAAUUUUUCCUCAUGUGACUUCUGGGAAGGAGCUCCCUCGUCUGGGCCAAAGGAAGGAGGAUGAAGCACUCCUCAGCUGGCCUGUGUUUGGAGCAUGAAUCUCUCCUCUCCUUGUCUGGCUCUGUUGACAAACUGGGCAUGUUGGGCAGUAAAUUGGCACCAUGUCACACUGUUUCCUGGGAUUCAAGUAUGCAACCAGAACACAGGAGAAGAAAAGCUCCAGGAUCCUUGUCCCCAUCUGUCCUCUUGACAUGAGAGAGACUCUGAGACUUCUUCCAUUGCAAUGACCCCUAUUAAACACAAGCCCCCAAAACAAAAGAAUAGGUUGAGUUUGCUGCCUGGAUUCAGACCAGCCCUUCCCAGGGCCUACAGGUGUCAUGUGAUCACUGUUCAGCAGGGGGCUUUCUGUACCCACACUGGCUGUAGCCACUUCAGUCCAUCUGCCCUCCAGAGGAGGGGUUUCUUCCUGAUGUUUAGCAAAAGGUUUAGAGGCUGCAGCUUGAGCUCACAAUCAGAAGGGAAACUGGAAGGAUUAGCAGCUUUUGAAAAUGUUUAAAUAUUUUGCUUUGCUAAUGUGCUGAUCUGUACUAACUCAUCUUUGCAAAAGGAACUGCUCCUUCAGCGUGCCGCAGCAGGGGUCUCUGAAGGGAUUCCUCACUGUGCGCAGCUGCCCUGAGCUUCAGGUAGCAGUGUUCAUCUCUGGCCAAUUGUCUGGUUCCCAUGUAUUCUCAGCCAGGUAGGCAACACAGAGCCAGGGCGGGUGCUGGAAGCCAGACGGAACAGUAUUGGGGCAGGAAGGUGGAAGCUGUUGUCAUGGAGCUGUGGGAGUCAGCACUCUGUCUGCUGGUGGCGCUCUCGGCUCACAGGUUCACAGUGCCACUCCUGGCAGACUUGGGUUUUCUCUUUGGUGGUUUAUAAAGUGCCUUAUCUGCAAACAAUUUCUUUUCUCCUUCAGGAACUGUGAAUGACUAGCAGAAGGAGCUCAGUAAACUAGAAGUCCAGGGUUGCUUGGUUUACUGGUUUAUAAGAAAUCUGAAAGCACCUCUGAAAUUCCUUUUAUUAACUCACCUGUCAGUUGAAAGAUUUCUUUUUUGAAGGGUCAAGACCAUGAACUGAAAAAAGUGUUGGCCUUUUUGCGGGACCAGAUUUUUAAGAUAAAAUAAAUGUUUUUACUUCUGUCA